CCUACGGGUGGCAGCAGUGGGGGAUAUUGCACAAUGGGGGAAACCCUGAUGCAGCGACGCCGCGUGUGGGAAGACGGUCCUCUGGAUUGUAAACCACUGUCCCCAGGGACGAAGAUGACGGUACCUGGGGAGGAAGCUCCGGCUAACUACGUGCCAGCAGCCGCGGUAAUACGUAGGGAGCGAGCGUUGUCCGGAAUUACUGGGUGUAAAGGGAGCGUAGGCGGGACUGCAAGUUGGGUGUCAAAUCUACCGGCUCAACCGGUAGCCGCACUCAAAACUGCAGUUCUUGAGUGAAGUAGAGGCAGGCGGAAUGCCGAGUGUAGCGGUGAAAUGCGUAGAUAUUAGGAGGAACACCAGUGGCGAAGGCGGCCUGCUGGGCUUUUACUGACGCUGAGGCUCGAAAGUGUGGGGAGCGAACAGGGGGGGGUACCCCAGUAGUC
rnacentral:rRNA from 1 species